UUAUGUACACACAGUCUCCAUAUAGCUGGAGUAUUGGUGAGUGAAGCGUUACAAAACAAAGAGAAAUAUAAACAAACCCAACUCUGCGCUCCUUCGUUUUAUACCAUUUUUGUCAUUUCAACUUUUCUAUGAACCCAAGAUGGCAGCCCCCAUGUAACAUGUGUGUAGCACGGUCCAAUAUGGCCCAACAUCCUCAAUCAUCGUGUUUGUUGAGAUAUGUGCUCUUUGAAUAGAUUAUCGAUAACAGAGUACGUGUAUGUAGCUGCUUGUUUAUCUUGAAAUAUGCUGCACCCAAUCAGAAUCAUAGCGUAUUCAUCACCGUGUUUGGCUGCAAGGGGGGCCCUGUUAGGGUUGCACAGUCAUGUUGCUAGGUCCUUCAUGCGGUUGUACCGAGCCGUUGACCACGACGACAUGUCGAAGAUCAGGAACAUUGGAAUCAUGGCUCACAUUGACGCGGGGAAAACAACAACCACUGAAAGAAUGCUGUUCUAUUCCGGAUAUUCAUCACACCUGGGAAACGUUGACAGUGGAGACACUGUCAUGGACUACAUGGAGCAGGAACGUGACCGUGGCAUCACUAUCACCUCCGCUGCCAUUACCAUCCCCUGGCAACAUCACCGCAUCAACCUCAUCGACACACCUGGCCAUGUUGACUUCACUAUGGAGGUGGAGAGGUCCCUGAGGGUGCUGGAUGGAGCAGUCACCAUCUUGGAUGCAUCAGCAGGAGUAGAGGCCCAGACUCUGACCGUAUGGAGGCAAGCUGACCGUUACAACAUUCCAAGGAUGGUGUACCUCAACAAGAUGGACAAGCGUGGAGCUAACCUCAAACUGUGUCUCGACUCACUCACUCACAAACUGAAAGUGAGGCCCAUGGUCCUGCAAUUGCCACUGGGGGCAGAGCGAGGCUUCCAUGGAGUCCUUGACCUGGUCAGUAUGGAGAGGCAGGUUUGGGACUCUAGCAUGAGUCCUGAUGGAACUGUGUAUGAACAAAGUUCACUCCUUGAGUCAGAUCCCCUCUACGAAACUGCUCUGAAUGAGAGAAACAAUUUGAUUGGUCAGCUUGCUGAUUUUGAUGACAGGCUGGCUGAACUUGUUCUGUCUGAUGAUGUGAGUAACAUUCCCCAGUCUGUGCUGCACAAUGCCAUCAAACUGUGCACCGUGAAGCAGCACCUGGUGCCAGUGAUGUGUGGGGCCUCCUUCAAGAACAAGGGAGUACAGCCACUCUUGGAUGCCAUCAUCCGAUACCUGCCCAGUCCCAUGGAGGUCAGCUAUGGGUUUGCUGAGCACUAUGGGAGUGACCUUUGUGCUCUGGCUUUCAAGGUCAUUCAUGACAAACAGCGAGGCCCUCUGACAUUUCUGCGAAUGUAUUCUGGGAUGAUGAAGAGUGGGGAGUCUGUGUACAAUAUCAACCGUGGCGUGACGGAGAAAACAAGCCGACUGCUGCAAGUGUAUGCCAAUGACUUCCAUGACAUGUCCACAGCAUCUGCUGGCAACAUCGUCCUCGUGGCAGGACUGAAACAGACAUACACCGGAGACACCAUCACCAACACUCAGAAGACGGCAAAUGCUGCAGCACGGACAUACAGGAUACACCGACACAAGGAGGGAUUCACAGACGAUUUCGAUGGCUGUAGUAAAGAUACAGGGGAUGACUCCGUGGAGGACGAUAGUAGACUACCUGUUCUGGCAGGACUGGAUAUUCCUGACCCUGUCUUUUUCUGCUCCAUCGAACCUCCAACAAUGGCUGCUCAGAGACAGCUGGAUAUGGCACUGGAAUGCCUUCAGAAGGAGGACCCAAGUCUUAAGGUUGAGUUUAACCAGGAGACGGGACAGACUAUUCUGUUGGGGAUGGGGGAACUUCAUCUGGACAUCAUCCGGUCACGCAUCAUCAAAGAGUACCGCAUUGAGGCAGAGGUUGGACCGCUCCAGGUAGCGUACAGAGAAACGUUAUUGGUAGAGGCGGAGGUCGAGGACACCCUUGACAGAACUGUUGGAGACCGGCGCCACCAGGUGUCUAUGAAAUUGUCUGUGCAUCCAGACAAUGACAUACAGGGCUUCAAGCAUGUUGACCUGAUGUCAUUCAAGGAGCAUCAUUUUCAGCCAAAACGCCCACAUUUGAAGGCAGUGGAGAGUGGCAUCAGAUCUUCCCUGCAGAAUGGUCCUGUACUCAACUGUCCUGUUAUCCAUGUCCGGGUUCAGCUGCACAGUCUCCAGGUCCGUCCUGGGACGUCCCUGGCGAUGGUGUCCGCGUGUGCAGCACAGUGUAUGAGCAAGGCCCUCCAGGGUGCAGAUAUGGCGCUGCUGGAACCCAUGAUGAAGUUGCAGGUGAGACAGAUGUGGCACUGCUGGAAGCCAUGAUGAAGUUACAGGUGAGACAGAUGUGGCACUGCUGGAAGCCAUGAUGAAGUUACAGGUGAGACAGAUGUGGCACUGCUGGAAGCCAUGAUGAAGUUACAGGUGAGACAGAUGUGGCGCUGCUGGAAGCCAUGAUGAAGUUACAGGUGAGACAGAUAUGGCGCUGCUGGAACCCAUGAUGAAGUUGCAGGUGAGACAGAUGUGGCGCUGCUGGAAGCCAUGAUGAAGUGACAGGUGAGACAGAUGUGGGACUGCUGGAAGCCAUGAUGAAGUUACAGGUGAGACAGACAUGGGACUGCUGGAAGCCAUGAUGAAGUUACAGGUGAGACAGACGUGGGACUGCUGGAAGCCAUGAUGAAGUUACAGGUGAGACAGAUGUGGGACUGUUGGAAGCCAUGAUGAAGUUACAGGUGAGACAUACAUGGGAUUACUGGAAGCCAUGAUGAAGUUACAGGUGAGACAGAUGUGGUGCUGCUGGAAGCCAUGAUGAAGUUACAGGUGAGACAGACAUGGGACUGUUGGAAGCCAUGAUGAAGUUACAGGUGAGACAUACAUGGGACUACUGGAAGCCAUGAUGAAGUUUCAGUUACUAGAUGUCUCUGAAUGUGGUAGGUGUAGUUAUUUCAACAGUAGGUGUGGAAAUGUAGUAAUCCAGUGCAUUUACCCCUGCAUUGUGACCUGUAUCAUGUACGUACAGCCAGUGGUGGCUCCAGUCAGACUUUGAUUG